GAUGAACGCUGGCGGCGUGCCUAAUACAUGCAAGUCGAGCGAACGGACGAGAAGCUUGCUUCUCUGAUGUUAGCGGCGGACGGGUGAGUAACACGUGGAUAACCUACCUAUAAGACUGGGAUAACUUCGGGAAACCGGAGCUAAUACCGGAUAAUAUUUUGAACCGCAUGGUUCAAAAGUGAAAGACGGUCUUGCUGUCACUUAUAGAUGUAUCCGCGCUGCAUUAGCUAGUUGGUAAGGUAACGGCUUACCAAGGCAACGAUGCAUAGCCGACCUGAGAGAGUGAACGGCCACACUGGAAAUGAGACACGGAACAGACUCCUACAGGAGGAAGCAGUAGGGAAUCUUCCGCAAUGGGCGAAAGACUGACGGAGAAACGCCGCGUGAGUGAUGAAGGUCUUCGGAUCGUAAAACUCGGUUAUUAGGGAAGAACAUAUGUGUAAGUAACUGUGCACAUCUUGACGGUACAUAAUCAGAAAGCCAAGGCUAACUACGUG
rnacentral:rRNA from 1 species